rnacentral:rRNA from 1 species
GAUGAACGCUGGCGGCGUGCCUAAUACAUGCAAGUCGAGCGAAGCGGCGGAUGGGUGAGUAACGCGUGGGUAACCUGACCUUAAGUCUGGGAUACCAUUUGGAAACAGAUGCUAAUACCGGAUACUAAAGGAUGGACCUGCGAUGCAUGAGCUAGUUGGUAAGGUAACGGCUUACCAAGGCGAGGAUGCAUGGCCGAGUUGUGAAUCUGACCGGACACAUUGGGACUGAGACACGGCCCAAACUCCUACGGGAGGCAGCAGUUGGGAAGCUUCCACAAUGGACGAAAGUCUGAUGGAGCAAUGCCGCGUGAGUGAAUAAGGUUUUCGGAUCGUAAAGCUCUGUUGUUGGUGAAGCGGUAAUCACCCAGAAAGUCACGGCUAACUACGUGCCAGCAGCCGCGGUAAUUC